GGGCUUGUGGUUUAGUGGUAUAAUACCCCGUUCGCAUUCUUUUCCUGCUUGGAAAGGAGUAGUAUCGGGGUGGUCCCGGGUUCGAUUCCCGGCGAGUCCA
rnacentral:tRNA from 1 species